GUCGCCGGAUGUUUGAACGGAGUUGAUAUCCACCGGCCGUUCUUCUCCAUCGUCUUCCCCGUCGAACCAACCUCCGAUGUCCACCACAACCACCACCUACAACCGUGAACCACCCUCUCAUCAUCACUGGUAACCCACAUCAAUCGUCUUCUCCAGUCACCGUUCUUCACCACCAUCAUCACCAUACCAUCAAUCAACCGUACUAUUUGUUCAAGACACGCAGAUGAUGAUGAUCUGAUUUGUUAAAGAAAUCAGAUCUGGGUUUUUGUUCAAGAGAUGCAGAUGAUGAUUUAUGCAGAUGAUGAUCUGAUUUGUUCAAGAAAAUGAUGAUUUUGGGUUUUAUUUAUAAAGUCAUAA
rnacentral:lncRNA from 1 species